UCAUCAGGUAGGAUAACCUUUACCUGUUUCUCUAUUCAGAGGGCAGAUAGAACACGAUGAUGAUUGGAGUCGGCAUGAUUUGUGAUUAACAUCUCUGCGUGAUUGGGGUUCGCAACACUCUAAUUGCUCCUGAU